rnacentral:lncRNA from 1 species
GGGGGGUUGGGGGUGUGGAGACAGAGAUGAGGAUGGAGAGAGAGGAAGGUUGUCCGUGGCAGAGAAGUGAGAAGACAUCUGCUUGUGUUUGAGGGGAAAAAAAUGAUGUUUUGAUUUUUAUCACAAACUGGCUCAGAAUACUAACUGAACCGCCGGAUUCCUUUCCUCUCAAGCUUAGCAACAAAAUCAGGGGGUGGAAAGGAGCAAGCAAGAAGAGGAUGUAGUUGAAAGCAAUCGUCUCGUUUGCAGGUCUCACAAACAGGGUUGGGCCUUCCCUCAAGAACACAUUUGGUGUCUCAACCUUGUUGGCCUAAUUAUAAGGUGAUUUUACCUAUUUGCUCUAGUGCUAACGGGGUCCCAGAAUUAGGCAUUCUGCUUCACACUUUAACAUAUUCUUGUUGAAAAACCAUUUCCGAGAUCCAUAGUUUCUUUUUCAGGAUGCAUUUAACUGUGAACAUACACAUCUACAUACAUACACAUCGUAUGUGCACAUGCUACUUUGCAGGUGUGUUGCAUUUAUGGAGUCUAUUUCUAUGCACAGCGUGCUUGAUUUACUAUCGUUUUUAUGGGUUAUUGAUGUCUUUGCAUUCUUGGAAGUAAUUGCAUGUUUUAGGAACCGGACUUCUGGUUUGUAUGAUUAUUCAUUGGCUUCAUUUGGAUUAAUGUGACAUUUAUUCUUGUUAUUGUCCCUUAGGUUCAUUGUGGCCAAUUAGGACAGAUGCCUAUCGUUUCUUCUGUAUUAGAGAACUAGAUGCCAAUUCAUAGCCUGGCUGUUUUUAAUUGGGUUUGUGGGCCUAUGUCGAGGGCCCCAAAUUUACAAUGAUGGGAAAGGGAGGUGGCUUGAAAUAUUAUUUAGCAUAUUGCAUCGUCUCAGAUAAAUGCUGAAACAGAUAGGUUUUUCUCGAAAUUCUGAUCCAUCCCUUUCAAAUCUGUAUGGUGUGCUCCAACCAGUACAGCUGAACUGGCAGGUGAGAGGCAUUCAUUUUAUUUAAUUAUGUAGAUAUUGGUUGCUCAUUCCUUCAGUGUCCACCACCAUUUUACAGUUCUCUCAGAAUGUCCUGUUCUCGGGUGGCUUCUCUAAGUGAUUAAGUAGGAAGCAGGAUGGUUUUAAAAACCCAAGUGUUCUCAAGGACCCCAGCCUGAAUUCGUGUGCUCAUACAAUGAAAGGAACGAGAGUAAGCAAAGCUUGGCAGGAGGAUGUGGCUUGGAGCUGAAACAGGGGUGAUUGUAGUUUUACUAUGCUAAGGCUUUAAGGCAGCUCAGGAGACUAAAGAUGCCAGAGAUUGGAACGGGCUCCAUUACCACCUAGGAUAAUGGAUUUCAUUGAACUAAAGCCAGAAAAAUCCUUUCAGGUAAAAAUGUAUUAGUAAUAUAACAUGCAUCAAAUAUGUGAACUGUGUCUACCAACCUUCCCACCAUCACUGCCAUGGAGGACGUAUUUUAAGUCUAAAAUAAUAGAUUCUUUUCAUAUUAGUCUUUAUAAUUUAUAAUUUUUACCUCAUUGGAUUUUAGUUUUGUUUUCCUGAGACUUAUUUGGUUUAUAGAUAAGAAUGAUGCUUAGUGACUUAAUUUAAUAUGCUCAUGUAUUUUGUGUAUUCACAAGUCUAAACUCUUGCUACCAUGUGCCUAAUUAUAACAACUCUAUAAAGUAGGUCAAGGAAGUAGGUACCAGGCUUGUAUGUUAUUGCAAAAAAAAAAGAGAAAGAUUUAUACCACAGUAUAAAGAUUUUAGAGUGUAUUACUAAAUGGAACUUUUAAUUUCCUAGAACAAAAGUUCAAAUAUUUCUAGAGUAAACUU